UUGGAGGGCAAGUCUGGUGCCAGCAGCCGCGGUAAUUCCAGCUCCAAUAGCGUAUAUUAAAGUUGCUGCAGUUAAAAAGCUCGUAGUUGAAUUUCGGGACCAUCAUGUCGGUCGUGCCUCGGUACGUACUGGUAUUGUUGGUUUCUCCCUUCUGACGAACCAUGAUGUCAUUUAUUUGGUGUUGUGGGGAAUCAGGACUGUUACUUUGAAAAAAUUAGAGUGCUUAAAGCAGGCUCACGCUUGAAUACAUUAGCAUGGAAUAAUGAAAUAGGACGUUUGAUUCUAUUUUGUUGGUUUCUAGGAUCGACGUAAUGAUUAAUAGGGAUAGUUGGGGGCAUUAGUAUUCAAUUGUCAGAGGUGAAAUUCUUGGAUUUAUUGAAGACUAACUACUGCGAAAGCAUUUGCCAAGGAUGUUUUCAUUAAUCAAGAACGAAAGUUAGGGGAUCGAAGACGAUCAGAUACCGUCGUAGUCUUAACCAUAAACUAUGCCGACUAGGGAUCGGAUGAUGUUAAUUUUUUAAUGACUCAUUCGGCGCCUUACGGGAAAC
rnacentral:rRNA from 1 species